rnacentral:rRNA from 1 species
GUGGGGUAGGGGAGCGUUCUGUAAGCCGUUGAAGGUGGUCUGUAAGGGCUGCUGGAGGUAUCAGAAGUGCGAAUGCUGACAUGAGUAACGAUAAAGGGAGUGAAAAACUCCCUCGCCGGAAGACCAAGGGUUCCUGUCCAACGUUAAUCGGGGCAGGGUAAGUCGACUCCUAAGGCGAGGCCGAAAGGCGUAGUCGAUGGGAAACGGGUUAAUAUUCCCGUACUUCUUACAAUUGCGAUGGGGGGACGGAGAAGGCUAGGUGGGCCUGGCGACGGUUGUCCAGGUUCAAGUACGUAGGCGGAAGGUUUAGGUAAAUCCGGACUUUC